GGUAGAGUACCCAAGAGGUCAAAGGGGACUGCCUUGAAAGCAGAUAGACGUGUAAUGCGUGCGUGGGUUCGAAUCCUACCUCUACCGCCA
rnacentral:tRNA from 4 species